UUGAAGAAAAACAGGUAGAAGUUGGAGACCGAAAAAAGGGAGAAAAAUUCAGGAAAAAGGGGGGGAAAAAAGGAAAGAAGGAAGGGAAGAAGAAAAGGGAAGAAGAGAAAAAGAGGUAAGGCUAAUCUCUUCAAGUUUGGGUUGAAUUUUUCCAUUUGUUUUAAUUGAUAAAGUAUGAAUUAUGUUAAAAUUCUAGGGUUUUAUUUUGGCUCGAAAUUUUCAGAUUUUUUUUAGAUGAAUACUACUUGGAGCUCAAGUUAUUGAUUCUUGAAUUUCUAUCUACAUUAAGGUAAGGAGAUGUCAAUUUUUUUGGGGAAACCCUAGAAUUCGAUUUUGGGAUUUUUGAUUAAUUAAUAGUGGAAAUGAUUAUAUAAAUGGAAUAUUUCACUUGGGAGUUGAUUUUAUGAAACAAAUGUAUAUUAAAUGGGUGGAAUUGUGGUUACUAGUUUCACUAGAUUGGAGAAUAAAAUUAGUUUUAAACUUGGGAAGAAGGUUUUGUUGAUGAAUUAAUUAUUAGUCAAGGGAUUAUAAAUUGUGAUUAGCUCUAAUUAAUAAAUGAAAAUUUGAGAAUUUAUUCAAGUGUCAAGAGAAUUUAAAUUAAGUUCUAUCAUUAGAUAUUAAGGUUUAUUGAUUAGAUAGAGGAUAAAUUGGUUAUUAAUAUCGUAUUUCAGGUGGUGACGAGGAAAUUGGAAACGUUUAUCAGGCAAUCUAGCUUGUAGCUCCUACCUUGUGAGUGGAUAAAA
rnacentral:lncRNA from 1 species